GCCAAACAGCUAGCUCAAACACAGCAACUAAAUUAAACACAUAGAUAACUCCACACAAACCCAACGCACCUAAACAAACCAUUUGACCUCCCCAGUAUGGGCGACAAAAAAGGACAUCUGAAGCCACAGACUAAGUACCGCAAGGGAAAGCUGAAAGAGAGAUGAAAGAAAGCACUCAAGCACCAAAAAGCAGAGACUACAACUCGUACCUUUUGCAUCAUGAUCUAGCCAGUACCCCCGAGCGAAGAGACCUCUAGUUCGGAGCCCCGAAACUAAGGCGAGCUACUCCGGGACAGCCAAUAGGGCCAACCCGUCUCUGUAGCAAAAGAGUGGGAAGAUCCCCGAGUAGAAGUGAAAAACCUAUCGAGCCAAGUUAUAGCUGGUUGCCCAAGAAAUGAAUACAAGUUCAGCCCCGAUCGACGUCUCUACUCCUGAAAGUUUUACUCAAACUAGAUGAAGAGCCACCAACGGGAGUUAGUUGAAGGAGGUACAGCUCCCUCAAUAAAGGACACAACCUUAAACAGAAGGCUAAAGAAUACAGUUUAAACAAGGCCAAAAGUUUCAGUAGGCCUAAAAGCAGCCACCUGUCUAGAAAGCGUUAAAGCUCAAACUAACUUACAAGCCUUAUAUACCAUUCAACACCUCUAAUGCCCCUAAUUUUAUUGGGCUUCUCUAUGCAACCAUAGAAGAAAUUAUGCUAGAACGAGUAAUAAGAAGAACAAACUUCUCCCAGCACAUGUGUAAGCCGGAUCGGACCCUCCACCGACAAUUAACGAACCCAACAAAAGAGGGCCCUACACCACCGCCCACUCAGGCCAAGAAAACCCCGCACCAAACACAAUCGUUAACCCUACACAGGAGUGCUUCAGUCAAGGGAAAGACUUAAAGGAAGAAAAGGAACUCGGCAAACCCUGGCCUCGCCUGUUUACCAAAAACAUCGCCUCCUGUUUCAACAACAUAGGAGGUCCCGCCUGCCCAGUGAUUAAAGGUUUAACGGCCGCGGUAUCCUAACCGUGCGAAGGUAGCGCAAUCAAUUGUCUCUUAAAUGGGGACCUGUAUGAAUGGCAUAACGAGGGCCAAACUGUCUCUUUUUCCUGGUCAAUGAAACUGAUCUGCUUGUGCAGAAGCGAGCAUAUCCAUACAAGACGAGAAGACCCUGUGGAGCUUUAGACGCCCACCAACUAUGAAAAGCAAAGCUCUUAACGCGAGCUCUAAACAACAUAGCCCUGGCAUAAACGUCUUCGGUUGGGGCGACCCUGGGAGAGAAAACAGCUCCCAAGCGGAUGGGACCUUACCCAUAUAACUAAGAGCCACAACUCUAAGUCUCGAUAAAUUCGACCGAAACAUGAUCCGGCCCACCGCCGAUCAACGAACCAAGUUACCCCAGGGAUAACAGCGCAAUCCCCUCCCAGAGUCCAUAUCGACGAGGGGGUUUACGACCUCGAUGUUGGAUCAGGACAUCCUAAUGGUGCAGCCGCUAUUAAGGGUUCGUUUGUUCAACGAUUAACAGUCCUACGUGAUCUGAGUUCAGACCGGAGUAAUCCAGGUCAGUUUCUAUCUGUAGCGCCGCCCUUCCCAGUACGAAAGGACCGGAACGGCAAGGCCCCUGCUCCGAGCACGCCUUCCUCCAACCUAAUGAAAACAAAUAAAAUAGACAAAGGAGGGCAGUCCUGCUCGGCCGAGAAAUAGGACACU
rnacentral:rRNA from 1 species